GCUCACGGCCACACCUCCCUCAGCACGCCCGAUCUCGUCUGAUCUCGGAAGCUAAGCAAGGUCGGGCCCGGUUAGUACUUGGAUGGGAGACCGCCUGGGAAUACCAGGUGCUGUAAGCU
ensembl:rRNA 5S_rRNA 5S ribosomal RNA